AAAUUAGGCAACUUUUUAAUUUUGGCCCCAAAAAUUUUCACUACUUUUUAGUUUCCCACCAAAAUUUGACCCCAUUACAUUUCAGCAAAAUAGUUUCGCUUCCCCCAAAAUUAGACCCAUUACAUUUCAGCAAAGUAGCUUUACUUUCCCCAAAAUUAGACUCUUCUAAGCUUCGACUCAGUUAAUUUCUCGGUGAUUUCAGCAAAGUAACAAGCCAUUCACUUCGACUCCGUUGUCAUCUUCACUAAGAGGUUUAGUUUUUCUCUAUUAACCAAAACUUACAGUGAAUAACUUUUGGAUCUUCAUAUUGGGUCCUUCAAUUCUUGCCCAAAUUUGUCUCUGAUUUCGUAUAAAACUUCAACAACCUCCAUUUUCAAUCAAGGAUCAAGAGGAGAAGGCAAAGAGGAGUUCUUUCUUCAAGGGGCAAAACGGUAAUCCAACUUUGAAGGUUUCUUUGUUAGCUUCCGUGUGAGGCCCUGCUAUUUCGAUUCCAACAAUUCAAACGUUGUGGAGAUAACAAAGCCAAAGGAAGAGUUUUAUUUUGUUAAUUAGGAGUUCGAAGCUUCCAAAUCCAUUGAAAGCCUUUGGUGUGAGCAGUUUGAGGAAUAGUCUGUUCAGUUAUGUUUUUGUACGCAGAACUGUAUAGUGAAUAUGCCAUGUCCCAUAUACACACUUGUCUAUAUUUUGCUAAUGUUUUAUGUUUAUAUGUAAAAAGAAUCUAAGAUAUGUCACCUUUUCUAAACUCUGAUUUGCAGAGGUAUUAAUUUACUCCCCCGUGCUCUUUGUGUUUGUCCUAUUUUAUAAUAAAGUUCCAAAGUUUCUUUUUUAAAAGAACAUCAACAUAUGCUUUUGGAGUGGCUGCUACUUUCACUUGAUCCCACUUUUAUGUUUCUUUCUUCUUCUUUUUUAAGUCCUAAUCACUAAACAAAUUCAGCACAAUGGAAAUCUUUUUUUUUUUUUUUGGUUCAACACGUCCUGCUUUUGAAGAUUAAAUAUUACUCGAUUACAUCAAGCGGUGUUAAUUUAUAUUGAAGGUCACUGAGCUUUGACAGAAGGAACUUGGUUGCUGCUUCAAUUUUUCUUUUUCUUUUUCUUUUUUUGAUAGCAUUAGUGUCGACCUUAGUUUGCGCGCACCUGAACUAAUUCCACGGGUACCUGCUACUUCCCAUUAACAUAUAUGCACCACUUUUUUAAUGAUGGUAUAUUUGCUCUAAAUAGCAAAGUUGAGAGGUAUAUUUGCACCGUGAUCCUUACAUCAAUAGCGAACGACCCUAUUCCCUUGUACUUCUGAGAGCGCUCCAUUCUGAAGUCCUGUGUAGGGAAAUGAAUGUGAGAGGAGCUCAUCACCGGAAAAAAGAUCCUGAUAAACCAACAUGUUUGCAUAUAAUUUUUCUCCGUUUCUCCCUCUAAAGAACUUUUUUAACAAAAAUGCAAUAAAGUGCACCCACUUUUUUCCAGCUUGCUAACAACUUCUUGUUAUUAGGAUGUUGAGCAGGACCAAUAGUUGUACGACUUUGUGAAAAAUCAUA